rnacentral:rRNA from 1 species
UACGUAGGGGGCAAGCGUUUGUCCGGAUUUAUUGGGCGUAAAGAGCGUGUAGGCGGCCAUGCAGGUCCGUUGUGAAAACUCGAGGCUCAACCUCGAGACGCCGAUGGAAACCGCAUGGCUAGAGUCCGGAAGAGGAGAGUGGAAUUCCUGGUGUAGCGGUGAAUGACGUAGAGAUGUGGAGGAACACCAGUGGCGAAGGCGGCUUUCUGGUCUGGUAACUGACGCU